GCUCAAGUGGCGGAAUUGGUAGACGCGUCGGAUUCAAAAUCCGAUUUCUUCGGAAGUGUGGGUUCGAUUCCCACCUUGAGUA
rnacentral:tRNA from 3 species